GGAUGGCAUUCCAUGGCUAUUAACUAUACACAUGCCUCACAUCAACAUGUGCAGUGCCAAGCAUAAGGGUAUAAAGCUCACUGCCACUGGAGGAGUGGAAACGUUUUCUCUGGAGUGAUGGAACACACUUCACUAUCUGCCAGUCUGAUGGAAAAAAAGAUGCAUAUGGCAGAUACCAAGAAACCGAAUCCAUAGUGUCUAUAGAAAAAGCAUGGUGGUAUUGUUUUUUUUUUUUCCAAGGUUCAUCCUAGGUCUUGUGAUGUCAUGGGAGCCAAGCCAAGGUCCAAUCAAAGGCUUCUCAUAGCUCACAAUUGUAAACAUCUCUGGAAGAGCAAUGUUUCAAGCUGAAGCACUGAAAAUCCAGGAUCCUACCACCAUGAUAACUUGAAAAAACAGAAGUUGGCCAUGGCAGUUGGAGUAACCAUUUUACAUUGUAUUGCAUCAAAGCUGUCAAGGAAUAUCUAUAUAAAAAGCACACACAAAAAAAAAACCACAAAACAAUCACAGUAUGAAUGUUUUUUUUCUUUUGUGCUUUUUGUAUAGCUGUUUCUUUUUUGAUAUAAUAUACUUUUAAG